GGAGUUAGCCGAUGCUUAUUCUUCAGGUACACGUCAUUUAUUCCUCCCUGAAAAAAGAGGUUUACAACCCAUAGGCAGUCUUCCCUCACGCGGUAUUGCUCCGUCAGGCUUUCGCCCAUUGCGGAAAAUUCCC
rnacentral:rRNA from 1 species